rnacentral:rRNA from 1 species
CUACGCACUCCUACGGGAGGCAGCAGUGGGGAAUAUUGCACAAUGGGCGCAAGCCUGAUGCAGCCAUGCCGCGUGUAUGAAGAAGGCCUUCGGGUUGUAAAGUACUUUCAGCAGUGAGGAAGGUGGGUAUGUUAAUAGCAUACUCAUUUGACGUUAGCUGCAGAAGAAGCACCGGCUAACUCCGUGCCAGCAGCCGCGGUAAUACGGAGGGUGCGAGCGUUAAUCGGAAUUACUGGGCGUAAAGCGCAUGCAGGUGGUUUGUUAAGUCAGAUGUGAAAGCCCGGGGCUCAACCUCGGAAUUGCAUUUGAAACUGGCAAACUAGAGUACUGUAGAGGGGGUAGAAUUUCAGGUGUAGCGGUGAAAUGCGUAGAGAUCUGAAGGAAUACCGGUGGCGAAGGCGGCCCCCUGGACAGAUACUGACACUCAGAUGCGAAAGCGUGGGGAGCAAACAGGAUUAGAUACCCUGUAG